GCUGAGAAGAUGCAGAAGCAUGGUGCAACAGGAUGGCUUGUCAACACUGGCUGGUCCGGUGGAAGCUAUGGGUCAGGCAGCCGUAUCAAGUUAGCAUACACAAGGAAAAUCAUUGAUGCCAUACACUCUGGCAGCCUCCUGAAGGCAAAUUACAAGAAAACUAAAGUGUUUGGGCUUGAGAUCCCCACAGAGGUCGAAGGAGUGCCUUCUGAAAUCCUGGAUCCUGUGAACACUUGGUCAGACAAGAAAGCUUACACUGAGACACUGUUGAAACUGGCUGGUCUGUUCCAGAACAACUUUACAACUUUCACCGACUACAAGAUUGGAAAGGACAACAAGCUGACUGAGGAGAUCCUAGCAGCUGGUCCGAUAUUUUAAUUCCCACCGAAAGGAGAACAGGAAGAUGAUUCCAGGAGGAGUUGGAGUAGACAAGAUAGAAUAAGAGUUAGGUUGAAUGUUGUAGUCAUUUGUGCCAGGAUAUAUUUAUAACUAUAGUAGCAUUCCUGGAAGUCUCUCUGUAACGAGGCGGGACUUCCAAGUUCUGCCUAACAAUCCCCCGUUUAAUCCAUAAAAAAAAAUGAAAAAAAAAAAAAUACAAGAGUUUUGUCCAGUUCGUGGUG
rnacentral:misc_RNA from 1 species